rnacentral:rRNA from 1 species
UACGUAGGGUGCAGUCGUUAAUCGGAAUUACUGGGCGUAAAGCGUGCGCAGGCGGUUUCUUAAGUCAGAUGUGAAAGCCCCGGGCUUAACCUGGGAACUGCGUUUGAAACUGGGAGACUUGAGUGUGGCAGAGGGGGGUGGAAUUCCACGUGUAGCAGUGAAAUGCGUAGAUAUGUGGAGGAACACCGAUGGCGAAGGCAGCCCCGUAGGUUAACACUGACGCUCAUGCACGAAAGCGUGGGGAGCAAACAGG